rnacentral:rRNA from 1 species
GACGAACCGUGCGAACGUUAUUCGGAAUCACUGGGCUUAAAGCGCGUGUAGGCGGCCCGGCACGUCAGUCGCUGAAAUCCCCCGGCUCAACCGGGGAAGUGGCGUUGAUACGACCGGGCUGGAGGGGGGUAGGGGGGACGGGAACUCACGGUGGAGCGGUGAAAUGCGUUGAGAUCGUGAGGAACGCCCGCGGCGAAAGCGCGUCCCUGGACCCCACCUUACGCUGAGACGCGAAAGCCAGGGGAGCGAACGGG